CCAGACUCCUACGGGAGGCAGCAGUGGGGAAUAUUGCACAAUGGGGGAAACCCUGAUGCAGCGACGCCGCGUGAGCGAUGAAGUAUUUCGGUAUGUAAAGCUCUAUCAGCAGGGAAGAAAAUGACGGUACCUGACUAAGAAGCCCCGGCUAACUACGUGCCAACAGCCGCGGUAAUACGUAGGGGGCAAGCGUUAUCCGGAUUUACUGGGUGUAAGGGGAGCGUAGACGGCCAUUCAAGCCAGAUGUGAAAGCCCGGGGCUCAACCCCGGGACUGCAUUUGGAACUGUGCGGCUAGAGUGUCGGAGAGGCAGGCGGAAUUCCUAGUGUAGCGGUGAAAUGCGUAGAUAUUAGGAGGAACACCAGUGGCGAAGGCGGCCUGCUGGACGAUGACUGACGUUGAGGCUCGAAAGCGUGGGGAGCAAACAGGAUUAGAUACCCGGGUAUUA
rnacentral:rRNA from 1 species